rnacentral:rRNA from 1 species
GAGUUUGAUCCUGGCUCAGAUUGAACGCUGGCGGCAUGCCUUACACAUGCAAGUCGAACGGGCAGCGCGGGCAACCUGGCGGCGAGUGGCGAACGGGUGAGUAAUAUAUCGGAACGUACCCUGGAGUGGGGGGAUAACGGUAGCGAAAGUUACGCUAAUACCGCAUACGAUCUAAGGAUGAAAGUGGGGGCUUCGCAAGAACCUCAUAGCUCCUGGAGCGGCCGAUAUCUGAUUAGCUAGUUGGU